UUUCCGUUGGUGAACCAGCGGAAGGAUCAUUACAGAGUUCAUGCCCUUCGGGGUAGAUCUCCCACCCUGUGUAUUAUAUACCUUUUGUUGCUUUGGCAGGCCGCCUUCGGGCUCCCGGCUUCGGCUGGGGUGUGCCUGCCAGAGGACCCCAACUCUUUUGUUUAUAUGUCGUCUGAGUACUAUAUAAUAAGUUAAAACUUUCAACAACGGAUCUCUUGGUUCUGGCAUCGAUGAAGAACGCAGC
rnacentral:misc_RNA from 1 species